CCUACGGGGGGCAGCAGUGGGGAAUAUUGCGCAAUGGGCGAAAGCCUGACGCAGCGACGCCGCGUGAGGGAUGAAGGUUCUCGGAUCGUAAACCUCUGUCAGGGGGGAAGAAACCCCCUCGUGUGAAUAAUGCGAGGGCUUGACGGUACCCCCAAAGGAAGCACCGGCUAACUCCGUGCCAGCAGCCGCGGUAAUACGGAGGGUGCAAGCGUUAAUCGGAAUCACUGGGCGUAAAGCGCACGUAGGCGGCUUGGUAAGUCAGGGGUGAAAUCCCACAGCCCAACUGUGGAACUGCCUUUGAUACUGCCAGGCUUGAGUACCGGAGAGGGUGGCGGAAUUCCAGGUGUAGGAGUGAAAUCCGUAGAUAUCUGGAGGAACACCGGUGGCGAAGGCGGCCACCUG
rnacentral:rRNA from 1 species